UCCAGUACUGGUAGUUAGAGUUCCCGACCUUAUAAAUGAAGCUGGCCUUCUCCAUCCAAGCAACAAGCAAGAAUAGAAUACAUUUGGAGAGCUUUCGGCCAUGGCGAUGGACCAUUCAAAGGACAUCGACGCAGUGGUGGAAUCAUACUGUAUGUGUAACAUAAAUCGACGUCAUGGUUUCUCUCAAGAGAGCAGAUCUCAAAGCUCAUCAGCCUGUUCUUCGUUGUCCGUUCGACCUGGAAGAAGACAAAUUUUUACUUCAGGAAUUUAAUUAAUAAGCAUAAUUAUUCGAUCGAUUAUCUCCUUAUUAGCAUUUUUAAAGGUCCAUUAUAUAAUAAUCUGCUUAUUGAACACAAUCAAAGAGGGGCUAGCUUACAAUAUUCUCCUUCAAAUUUAAUUCUGAAACUGUAGUGUAUUUUUUGAUAUUUCAGAACAUUCAAGGUUUUAUCUUAACAAAAAUAUUUGUUAUUUGGAAAAUAAUUUGAUCGAUUCGGCAAACAAGUUCAGUUACAGACAAUUAAUUCAAUAGAAUCGGGUCUGUUAAUCAACCUUAUUAAGCUUUGGUUAAUAACAUGCAAGCUCUGAUAAACCAAAUAAUUAAUUUUGCUGGGUUGAUUAAAUUGUUUGAAUUAAUUGAAUACUUUUGCCUAUGUUUAGAUUUAAGUUUAAAGUUAAUUAAAUUACUAAUAAAUACUAUUAAAUUAUAGCAUGAUAUGCUACUAAACCUUUCUGAUGUUUGAAGUAAUGCAUCAUUAAAAUUUUCUUGAUGUAAAAUACUUAGGCUACGUUUGCGACUGCUUUUUCAUUAUUUCUUGAAGCAUUUUUCUAAGUAAAAAAUUAAAAUUCUUGUGCUAAAAUACUGAUUUAAGAAGUAGUAAGAAAGCCGACUCAAAUGAAUCCUUAAUGAAAAUUAUCAACAGAAGAUUAUUUUUGAACUUCCAACAUAAAAGCUUCAUAAUUCUGUCUAAAAUUUCAAUAGAUUUCCAA